rnacentral:rRNA from 1 species
CCUACGGGAGGCAGCAGUGAGGAAUAUUGGUCAAUGGACGAGAGUCUGAACCAGCCAAGUAGCGUGAAGGAUGACUGCCCUAUGGGUUGUAAACUUCUUUUAUAUGGGAAUAAAAUGUUCCACGUGUGGGAUUUUGUAUGUACCAUAUGAAUAAGGAUCGGCUAACUCCGUGCCAGCAGCCGCGGUAAUACGGAGGAUCCGAGCGUUAUCCGGAUUUAUUGGGUUUAAAGGGAGCGUAGGUGGAUUGUUAAGUCAGUUGUGAAAGUUUGCGGCUCAACCGUAAAAUUGCAGUUGAAACUGGCAGUCUGGAGUACAGUAGAGGUGGGCGGAAUGCGUGGUGUAGCGGUGAAAUGCUGAGAUAUCACGAAGAACUGCGAUGGCGAAGGCAAGUGGCCGGGGUGCAACUGACGCUGAGGCUCGAAAGUGCGGGUAUCAAACAGGAUUAGAUACCCGGGUAGUC